rfam:Candidate division WOR-1 bacterium RIFOXYC12_FTLL_54_18 RifOxyC12_full_WOR_1_54_18_curated_complete, whole genome shotgun sequence.
GGGCCCGUGGCGUAACUGGAUAGCGUGUCGCCCUCCGAAGGCGAAGGUUGCGAGUUCGAAUCUCGCCGGGCCCA